GCGAGCCCGAAGCUCUCGGAGAUGAGUGCGGCCUGGUUGGCAUCCGGGCAGCACAGGCGGACCAUUUCGAGUGUGGUGCCCUUGCG
rnacentral:tRNA from 1 species